rnacentral:lncRNA from 1 species
AUGGAGGAGUCUCCUGCUGUGUCAACAGAAGACGAGACCAUCACCCCCAGCACCAGCCAACAGGCAGCAUCAGAGCAGUCUCUGGAAUCUCCCUCAGAGGAGAUGAGCAGCCCCAGCCUCUACAGUUGGGUAACAUCAAGGCCAUCCCACAGCAACAUCCCAGAAACUGAGGACAGCAGCUGCUCUCGCAGUCGGAGGCCUGACCACCGGCAAAACCGCACCCGCCGGCAAAGUCGGCCCCAAAAUCCACAGCAUCGGUCCAGAAGUCCUCAUGACAGGAGCCACGUGCCGGAACCAACUGCUGCGAGGUGCAGGCCCAGGCAGGGACAAUCAGGAACAUCCCGCAGGCCAAGACGCUCCCGCCGGCAAAGUCGUCCCCAAAAUCCACACCUUCGGUCCCCGAGUCCCUAUGACAGGAGAUGUUCGCCACACCUUCGGUCCCCGAGUCCCCAUGACAGGAUUUGUUUGCCACCACCACCAAGUCCUCGGAGGCGCAGCCGCAGCGAGGAGGCAUCAGAGACAUCCAGCAACCGAAACCGCUCCCGCCAGCAACGUCGGCCCCAAAAUCCACACCUUCGGUCCAGAAGUCGACGUCACAGGAGCCAUGUGAGAACACCAAGGGCUGGGAGCUGCACCUCCACCCAGGAAGCAUCAGAGACAUCCAGCAGCCGAAACCGCUCCCGCCAGCAACGUCGGCCGCAAAAUCCACACCUUCGGUCCAGAAGUCGCCGUGACAGAAGCCAUGUCCCAGCACCAAGUACUGGGAGACGCAGGCCCAGUCAGGAAGAAUCAGGGACAUCCCGCAGGCGAAGUAGCUCCCGCCGCCAAAGUCGGACCUCAAAUCCAUCUGGCCGCUCCAGAAGUCCCCUUGACAGGAACUGCACGCCAGCACCGAGUGCUGGCAGGCGAAACUCAAGGGAGACAGCAGCCAGGACUUCCCAAAGGGAACAGCACUCCCGCCGGCAGCGUCGGACCUCAAAUUCAUCCAACAGAUCCAGAAGUCGCCGUGAUGGGAGGCGUGAUAGAGCACCCAGUGCUGGGAGCCCCACUCACCGCUCAGACGGUGAGACAGGGACUCCCCACUGA